rnacentral:rRNA from 1 species
AAUGGCCUAACGGCUGAACCAGCAACUUGGAGGAAUGUAUAGCAAUUGCUAAUUGCACCAAUCGCAAUAUCGAUUUAAUCGAAUAAAAUUCUGGGUAAAAUUAUGAUAAUGACAUUAUUUACCUAUGUGUCUUGACCAAAUUACGUGCCAGCAGUCGCGGUAACACGUAAAAGACUAGUGUUAUUCAUCUUUAAUAGGUUUAAAGGGUACCUAGACGGUAAAUAAAGCUUUUAAGGACUGAUUUACUAGAGUUAUAUACGAGGGAGUUUUAACGUACUAGAGGUGAAGAGAUGAAAUUCUGUCAUACCUUUUUUCUUUAGAAAAACUUGGCACAGGUAUAGGUGAAAACAUCUCCUUAUGUAUUAGCUCUUUAUCGCAAACAGGAUUAGAUACCCUGGUAGUCAGAGCAGAAAAUGAUGAGUGUCAUAGAUUAAUUUAUUCUAUAAAUGAAAGUGUAAGCACUCCACCUCAAGAGUAAUUUGGCAACAUUGGAACUGAAAUCAUUAGACCGUUUCUGAAACCAGUAGUGAAGUAUGUUGUUUAAUUUGAUAAUCCGCAAAAAACCUUACCAUGAAUGUUUACAAGCGUUGCACGGCUGUCUUCAGUUAAUGUCGUGAGACUAUGGUUAGCUCCAUUAAAUUAACGUAAACCCUUACUUUAUUUUUAAAUAGAGUAGUUCUCCACUAUAUUGGAUAAGAUAACAGGGACUAAGACAAGUCAUCAUGGCCUGAAUGUU